rnacentral:rRNA from 1 species
AGUGAACGCUGGCGGCAGGCCUAACACAUGCAAGUCGAGCGGAUGAAGGGAACUUGCUCCUGGAUUCAGCGGCGGACGGGUGAGUAAUGCCUAAGAAUCUGCCUGUUAGUUUUUUAUAACGUCCUGAAACGGGCGCUAAUACCGCAUACGUCCUUAGGGAGUAAGUGUGGGAGCUUCGGACCUCACGCUAUCAGAUGAGCCUAUGUCGGAUUAGCUAGUUGGUGGGGUAAAGGCCCACCAAGGCGACGAUCCGUAACUGGUCUGAGAGGAUGAUCAGUCACACUGGAACUGAGACACGGUCCAGACUCCUACGGGAGGCAGCAGUGGGGAAUAUUGGACAAUGGGCGCAAGCCUGAUCCAGCCAUGCCGCGUGUGUGAAGAAGGUCUUCGGAUUGUAAAGCACUUUUAGUUGGGAGGAAGGGCAGCAAGUUAAUACCUUGCUGUUUUGACGUUACCAACAGAAUAAGCACCGGCUAACUUCGUG